rnacentral:rRNA from 1 species
CCUACGGGAGGCAGCAGUGAGGAAUAUUGGUCAAUGGGCGCGAGCCUGAACCAGCCAAGUCGCGUGAGGGAAGACGGUCCUAUGGAUUGUAAACCUCUUUUGUCGGGGAGCAAAAGACGCCACGCGUGGCGUUCCGAGAGUACCCGAAGAAAAAGCGUCGGCUAACUCCGUGCCAGCAGCCGCGGUAAUACGGAGGAUGCGAGCGUUAUCCGGAUUUAUUGGGUUUAAAGGGUGCGCAGGCGGAAGAUCAAGUCAGCGGUAAAAUUGAGAGGCUCAACCUCUUCGAGCCGUUGAAACUGGUGUUCUUGAGUGAGUGAGAAGUAUGCGGAAUGCGUGGUGUAGCGGUGAAAUGCAUAGAUAUCACGCAGAACUCUGAUUGCGAAGGCAGCAUACCGGCGCUCAACUGACGCUCAUGCACGAAAGUGUGGGUAUCGAACAGGAUUAGAUACCCCUGUAGUC